ACUUGGGUGGACCUUAGGUCCACCACUUAAAGUUUUAUAAAAACAGCUCUUUUAGGAACACCUUGCAUAUGAGGUGUAUCGUUUUUAUUAGCAUGUCUCUCUCUUUCUCUCUCUCUGCAUUUUUGGGUCAAGGGGCUUCUCUUUUUCUCUCAUUAACAGCUCAUCGACCCUCCCUCAAGAAGCAUCCUCUGUUUCAACAAGAAAGGAGAUUCUUUCGCUUAUCUCCUCUACCC
rnacentral:lncRNA from 1 species